rnacentral:rRNA from 1 species
GUAGGAUCCGAGCGUUAUCCGAAUUUACUGGGCGUAAAGCGCGUGUAGGCGGUCGGGUAAGUUGGACGUGAAAGCUCCUGGCUCAACUAGGAGAGGUCGUUCAAAACUGCCUGGCUAGAGGGCGACAGAGGGAGGUGGAAUUCCCGGUGUAGUGGUGAAAUGCGUAGAUAUCGGGAGGAACACCAGUGGCGAAGGCGGCCUCCUGGGUCGCACCUGACGCUCAGGCGCGAAAGCUAGGGGAGCGAACGGGAUUAGAUACCCCGGGUAGUCCUAGCUGUAAACGAUGUGGACUUGGCGUUGGUGGGGUUAAAUCCCAUCAGUGCCGUAGCUAACGCGAUAAGUCCACCGCCUGGGGACUACGGUCGCAAGAUUA